rnacentral:rRNA from 1 species
UGCAGUGGAUCAAGGAACGAGAAGAGAAGACAGCGGAGAGACUGUGCUGAAGUUUGAUCCUGCUCAGAUGACGCUGCGCAGCUGACACAUGCAAGUCGAGCGGGGGAAAGGUAGCCUCGCUAACUGAACCUAGCGGCCGGACGGGUGAGUAAUGCUUAGGAAUCUGCCUAUUAGUGAGAGACAACGAUUCCGAAAGGAACGCUAAUACCGCAUACGUCCUACGGGGGAAAAGCAGAGGAUCUUCGGACCUUGCGCUAAUAGAUGAGCCUAAGUCGGAUUAGCUAGUUGGUGGGGUAAAGGCCUACCAAGGCGACGAUCUGUAGCGGGUCUGAGAGGAUGAUCCGCCACACUGGGACUGAGACACGGCCCAGACUCCUACGGGAGGCAGCAGUGGGGAAUAUUGGACAAUGGGCGGAAGCCUGAUCCAGCCAUGCCGCGUGUGUGAAGAAGGCCUUUUGGUUGUAAAGCACUUUAAGCGAGGAGGAGGCUCCUUUAGUUAAUACCUAAAGUGAGUGGACGUUACUCGCAGAAUAAGCACCGGCUAACUCUGUGCCAGCAGCCGCGGUAAUACAGAGGGUGCGAGCGUUAAUCGGAUUUACUGGGCGUAAAGCGUGCGUAGGCGGCUUUUUAAGUCGGAUGUGAAAUCCCUGAGCUUAACUUAGGAAUUGCAUUCGAUACUGGAAAGCUAGAGUAUGGGAGAGGAUGGUAGAAUUCCAGGUGUAGCGGUGAAAUGCGUAGAGAUCUGGAGGAAUACCGAUGGCGAAGGCAGCCAUCUGGCCUAAUACUGACGCUGAGGUACGAAAGCAUGGGGAGCAAACAGGAUUAGAUACCCUGGUAGUCCAUGCCGUAAACGAUGUCUCUCUAACCGUUGGGGCCUUUGAGGCUUUUAGUGGCGCAGCUAACGCGAUAAGUAGGACCGCUGGAAGGACGGA